GGGGAUGACGUCAAGUCAUCAUGCCCUUACGAGUAGGGCUACACACGUGCUACAAUGGCAGAUACAAAGAGAAGCGACCUCGCGAGAGCAAGCGGAACUCAUAAAGUCUGUCGUAGUCCGGAUUGGAGUCUGCAACUCGACUCCAUGAAGUCGGAAUCGCUAGUAAUCGUAGAUCAGAAUGCUACGGUGAAUACGUUCCCGGGCCUUUGUACACACCGCCCGUCACACCAUGGGAGUGGGUUGCAAAAGAAGUAGGUAGCUUAACCUUCGGGAGGGCGCUUACCACUUU
rnacentral:rRNA from 1 species